rnacentral:rRNA from 1 species
ACCUACCUAUAAGACUGGGAUAACUUCGGGAAACCGGAGCUAAUACCGGAUAAUAUUUCGAACCGCAUGGUUCGAUAGUGAAAAAUGGCUCUGCUAUCACUUAUAGAUGGACCUGCGCCGUAUUAGCUAGUUGGUAAGGUAACGGCUUACCAAGGCAACGAUACGUAGCCGACCUGAGAGGGUGAUCGGCCACACUGGAACUGAGACACGGUCCAGACUCCUACGGGAGGCAGCAGUAGGGAAUCUUCCGCAAUGGGCGAAAGCCUGACGGAGCAACGCCGCGUGAGUGAUGAAGGUCUUCGGAUCGUAAAACUCUGUUAUUAGGGAAGAACAAACGUGGAAGUAACUGUGCACGUCUUGACGGUACCUAAUCAGAAAGCCACGGCUAACUACGUGCCAGCAGCCGCGGUAAUACGUAGGUGGCAAGCGUUAUCCGGAAUUAUUGGGCGUAAAGCGCGCGUAGGCGGUUUUUUAAGUCUGAUGUGAAAAGCCCCACGGGCUCAACCGUGGAGGGGUCAUUGGAAAACUG